ensembl:snRNA U6 U6 spliceosomal RNA
UGCUUGCCUAGGGUGAUAUACUAAAAUUGGAAUGAUACAGAGAAGAUUAGCAUGGCCCCUGCGCAAAGAUGACACACAAAUUCGUGGGGGUCAUAAGUUCCUU